AGAGUUUGAUCAUGGCUCAGAUUGAACGCUGGCGGCAGGCCUAACACAUGCAAGUCGAACGGUAGCACAGAGAGCUUGCUCUCGGGUGACGAGUGGCGGACGGGUGAGUAAUGUCUGGGAAACUGCCUGAUGGAGGGGGAUAACUACUGGAAACGGUAGCUAAUACCGCAUAACGUCGCAAGACCAAAGAGGGGGACCUUCGGGCCUCUUGCCAUCAGAUGUGCCCAGAUGGGAUUAGCUAGUAGGUGGGGUAACGGCUCACCUAGGCGACGAUCCCUAGCUGGUCUGAGAGGAUGACCAGCCACACUGGAACUGAGACACGGUCCAGACUCCUACGGGAGGCAGCAGUGGGGAAUAUUGCACAAUGGGCGCAAGCCUGAUGCAGCCAUGCCGCGUGUAUGAAGAAGGCCUUCGGGUUGUAAAGUACUUUCAGCGGGGAGGAAGGUGUUGUGGUUAAUAACCACAGCAAUUGACGUUACCCGCAGAAGAAGCACCGGCUAACUCCGUGCCAGCAGCCGCGGUAAUACGGAGGGUGCAAGCGUUAAUCGGAAUUACUGGGCGUAAAGCGCACGCAGGCGGUCUGUCAAGUCGGAUGUGAAAUCCCCGGGCUCAACCUGGGAACUGCAUUCGAAACUGGCAGGCUAGAGUCUUGUAGAGGGGGGUAGAAUUCCAGGUGUAGCGGUGAAAUGCGUAGAGAUCUGGAGGAAUACCGGUGGCGAAGGCGGCCCCCUGGACAAAGACUGACGCUCAGGUGCGAAAGCGUGGGGAGCAAACAGGAUUAGAUACCCUGGUAGUCCACGCCGUAAACGAUGUCGACUUGGAGGUUGUGCCCUUGAGGCGUGGCUUCCGGAGCUAACGCGUUAAGUCGACCGCCUGGGGAGUACGGCCGCAAGGUUAAAACUCAAAUGAAUUGACGGGGGCCCGCACAAGCGGUGGAGCAUGUGGUUUAAUUCGAUGCAACGCGAAGAACCUUACCUACUCUUGACAUCCAGAGAACUUUCCAGAGAUGGAUUGGUGCCUUCGGGAACUCUGAGACAGGUGCUGCAUGGCUGUCGUCAGCUCGUGUUGUGAAAUGUUGGGUUAAGUCCCGCAACGAGCGCAACCCUUAUCCUUUGUUGCCAGCGGUCCGGCCGGGAACUCAAAGGAGACUGCCAGUGAUAAACUGGAGGAAGGUGGGGAUGACGUCAAGUCAUCAUGGCCCUUACGAGUAGGGCUACACACGUGCUACAAUGGCGCAUACAAAGAGAAGCGAACUCGCGAGAGCAAGCGGACCUCAUAAAGUGCGUCGUAGUCCGGAUUGGAGUCUGCAACUCGACUCCAUGAAGUCGGAAUCGCUAGUAAUCGUAGAUCAGAAUGCUACGGUGAAUACGUUCCCGGGCCUUGUACACACCGCCCGUCACACCAUGGGAGUGGGUUGCAAAAGAAGUAGGUAGCUUAACCUUCGGGAGGGCGCUUACCACUUUGUGAUUCAUGACUGGGGUGAAGUCGUAACAAGGUAACCGUAGGGGAACCUGC
rnacentral:rRNA from 1 species